rnacentral:lncRNA from 1 species
GUUCCCUUUCCUGCCAGUAUUGUCUUUCCCUUUAUAACUGGCCCUCCCCAGCCAGCUCCCACCUAGAUGCACUAAAAAAGAAGGUAUUUUAGUUCAAUGCAAGCCUUCCGCAUCCCUUCCUCAUGCCCUGUGGGCCUCCCCGCCCCUCCAUCCCAGCUCUGACUCAUUCGGCAGUCUGCAAGAAAGAGAGGCCAACAGAUUUUGAUAUUUUCUCUUCCCUACAUGCUCGAUAGUGCUAACAGAUUCCAUCUCCCCAACCAAGAGAACAGUGUCUAGACAGGGUUAGAAGUAGAAGAGAGGGACAGAUCUGGAGGAUAUGAGAACUGAAGAACCCCCAUCUACAAAGACUCCAGGCAGAGAUCUGAGGGUUCUGCCCACAAGUGGGGCUAGACUCCUUCAGAGCCAGCCACCACGAGCUCUUAAAAGCCUGCUCUAGGACUCACAUGGAACACGGACAUGAGACACAGGACAACAGGAUUCAAAAGACAGACAGAAGGUUCCCUGGAGGAACCCUGGUGUGCUCUGCCUCUUGGUCACUCCAGCCCCUGUGCUUGAGUCAGCAUGUACCCCACGUACCUGAGCUGGCAGGCUCGGAGUGGGGCUGUGUGGUUGCCAGGGAAAGCCAGUGGGGUCACAGCUCAUGGCAAACGGAGUGUCUGCAUGCUCCCACGGCAGAAGUGGAUAGGNNNNNAGGCUCCUCACCACAAUCUGAGUUUCAGCAGUUCUGGGGAGACACAGGACAACAGCUCAGUUCCGGAGUUCCCGCAGUAUGUGCACAGACGGCACAAAAGCUUUUGGGCUCCAACUACAUCUGCUGGCAUCACCUCCAGCUUCUAAGCCUCAUGCUCCUUUCGGCUUUUCAAUUUUGUAGCCUUAUAUAUGCACGUGUAUAUGAUUAGUGUGAGUCCACAAUAGGUGCUCAAUAGAUAUCUUCCCUAUUUCUUCACUAUGUGUUUAUGGAGCAUCUACUGUGUGUACAAAGAUGAACUGGAAACACUCCUGCAACCAGGGAGUUCACAGUUUUGUGUAAGACAGACAGACAGACAGACACACACACACACACACACACACACACACACACCCCUAUAAUGCUGGGUAAUAAAUGUCCUGGCCUACAAUGGGGGAUAUGGGACACAGAAAUAGGAGACUAACUGCCUAGAAAUGGAAAUGAUGUCCUCAGACAAUGCCAUCAAUAUACAGGAGGUAAC